GGGUAGAUUUCAAGUAACAAUUAGCACCGAAGUUACGUCGAUGAUAUUCUAAAAUACUUCACUUCCUGAUGUAACAAAAUGCAUCAUACCAGUAGAAAAGAGGUUUCGAGUUAAAAUUACAAAGUGCUCACAUCCAGUUGUCCAUACAGAUGAUCCUUCAAUCGUUCAAUUCACAAUCAACGACUGACCCUAGUAAAUCUCCGUACAGCCCGUACGAUCCCAUUGGCAUACCCUCCAACCGAAGUCGUAAUGGAAAUGCAACGAUGGGGGAUGACUGGGAAAGCUUCAACUGCGAGGAAUCUGAUAACGAGGGGCUAGCAGACCUGCUCGGUGCCGAUGAUUUCCACAAACACGUACAGCCUACAAUCUCCCAUGCAGCCAAAUAACACCGUCUAUUGCUCUCUACCUAAGCUAUUAGAUUAGACAUAUCCCCUUUAUUGAAUUUUCGUAUUUCAGCAGGAAAUUUAAUAUGACGUUAAUUGAACCCACCAGCAUAUUUUCGGAACAUUAGGAUUUUUGAGAAAGGAAUGAUCUCUAACAAGAAAGCGUGAUUACUUGAUGAGAAAUCAGAUCCCAAAUUAAAUUCGUAUAUUUUUCCGCCCCUAAUAAUAGAACCGAAAAAUAUUAAUCAAGAUGGGAACUCGUAUUAUGGUUUAUGGUAUGGAUUUGUAUGGAGUAAGUGAGCCCGAUUUUUCGGAGAAAGUCGUUAAUAUAAACAAUUUAAAUUGUUCUAUUGAGGAUAUAAAAUUCUUUAACAAAAUCAA